CCGCCGCGGUAACACCGGCAGCUCUAGUGGUAGCUGUUUUAUUGGGCCUAAAGCGUUCGUAGCCGGUUUAAUAAGUCUCUGGUGAAAUCCUAUAGCUUAACUGUGGGAAUUGCUGGAGAUACUAUUAGACUUGAGAUCGGGAGAGGUCAGAGGUACUCCUGGGGUAGGGGUGAAAUCCUGUAAUCCUAGGAGGACCACCUGUGGCGAAGGCGUCUGACUAGAACGAAUCUGACGGUGAGGAACGAAAGCUAGGGGCGCGAACCGGAUUAGAUACCCGGGUAGUCCUAGCCGUAAACUAUGCGGACUUGGUGUGAGGGUGGCUUUGAGCCGUCCUGGUGCCGAAGGGAAGCUGUUAAGUCCGCCGCCUGGGAAGUACGGUCGCAAGACUGAAACUUAAAGGAAUUGGCGGGGAGCACCACAACGCGUGGAGCCUGCGGUUUAAUUGGAUUCAACGCCGGAGAUCUCACCAGCGGCGACAGCAGUAUGAUGACCAGGUUGAUGACUUUGUUUGACAAGCUGAGUGGUGGUGCAUGG
rnacentral:rRNA from 1 species